UCUUAUCAAAACAAAGACAUAGAACUCUUCAUAGCAUCUUCUUUGGAAUUACUCAGGAACCAGAACUUUUCACACAAAUAUAAGAAAUUCAACCAAGGAAUCCCUUUACCUAACGCAUCUCACAAAGCUCCAAUCAGAUUCCAGAAAAGCCUCCUUGAAUACAUCAAGGUAGAAACUG
rnacentral:lncRNA from 1 species